rnacentral:rRNA from 1 species
UGAAAGGACAAACGAGAAUACACCUGUCUCCUUUAAGCCCUUAAAAAUUUAUCUUUAAGUGAAGAAGCUUAAAUUCAUAUGCAGGACAAGAAGACCCUAUAGAGCUUUACCUAAAAUCUACAUAAAUAGUAGCUAGCGGUUCGGUUGGGGCGACCGGGGGACAUUCAUCACCCCCAAACUAAAAGAUAUACCUAUCCCACCAAAGAUCCUUACUCAAGAUCAAAGAAUCAAGCUACCUUAGGGAUAACAGGCUAAUCCUCUUAGAGAGCCCUUAUCGACAAGAGGGGUUGGCACCUCGAUGUUGGCUUAGGACUUCUCCAUGUCGCAGCAGACAUGGCAAGAUGGUUUGUUCAACCAUUAAA